GCGGGAUUAGUUAAUCGGUUUAACGUAACCUUCCCAAGGUUAAAAGAUGGGUUCGACUCCCAUAUCCCGCU
rnacentral:tRNA from 1 species